rnacentral:rRNA from 1 species
GCAAGGUUAAAACUCAAAUGAAUUGACGGGGGCCCGCACAAGCGGUGGAGCAUGUGGUUUAAUUCGAUGCAACGCGAAGAACCUUACCUGGUCUUGACAUCCACGGAAGGUCUCAGAGAUGAGACUGUGCCUUCGGGAGCCGUGAGACAGGUGCUGCAUGGCUGUCGUCAGCUCGUGUUGUGAAAUGUUGGGUUAAGUCCCGCAACGAGCGCAACCCUUAUCCUUUGUUGCCAGCGGUCCGGCCGGGAACUCAAAGGAGACUGCCAGUGAUAAACUGGAGGAAGGUGGGGAUGACGUCAAGUCAUCAUGGCCCUUACGACCAGGGCUACACACGUGCUACAAUGGCGCAUACAAAGAGAAGCGACCUCGCGAGAGCAAGCGGACCUCAUAAAGUGCGUCGUAGUCCGGAUUGGAGUCUGCAACUCGACUCCAUGAAGUCGGAAUCGCUAGUAAUCGUGGAUCAGAAUGCCACGGUGAAUACGUUCCCGGGCCUUGUACACACCGCCCGUCACACCAUGGGAGUGGGUUGCAAAAGAAGUAGGUAGCUUAACCUUCGGGAGGGCGCUUACCACUUUGUGAUUCAUGACUGGGGUGAAGUCGUAACAAGGUAACCGUAGGGGAACCUGC